CAGUCGCGCGGGAAUACAGAGGGUGCGAGCGUUAAUUGGAUUUACUGGGCGUAAAGCGUGCGUAGGCGGCUAAUUGAGUCGGAUGUGAAAUCCCCGAGCUUAACUUGGGAAUUGCAUUCGAUACUGGUUAGCUAGAGUGUGGGAGAGGAUGGUAGAAUUCCAGGUGUAGCGGUGAAAUGCGUAGAGAUCUGGAGGAAUACCGAUGGCGAAGGCAGCCAUCUGGCCUAACACUGACGCUGAGGUACGAAAGCAUGGGGAGCAAACAGGAUUAGAUACCCGCGUAGUCCCUGUCUCUUAUACA
rnacentral:rRNA from 1 species